rnacentral:rRNA from 1 species
UACGCAGGCGGUUCUGUAAGACAGAUGUGAAAUCCCCGGGCUUAACCUGGGAAUUGCAUUUGUGACUGCAGGACUAGAGUUCAUCAGAGGGGGGUGGGAAUUCCAAGUGUAGCAGUGAAAUGCGUAGAUAUUUGGAAGAACACCAAUGGCGAAGGCAGCCCCCUGGGAUGCGACUGACGCUCAUGCACGAAAGCGUGGGAGCAAACA